AAAAAAGCAUCUUUUUGUUUUUAAAAGACCUUCUUAUGAAGGUAUGCUUAAAGAGGGGCUUGCGCCACAUUAGUUAGUUGGUAGGGUAAAAGCCUACCAAGACGAUGAUGUGUAGCUGGACUGAGAGGUUGAACAGCCACAUUGGGACUGAGACACGGCCCAAACUCCUACGGGAGGCAGCAGUAGGGAAUUUUCGGCAAUGGAGGAAACUCUGACCGAGCAACGCCGCGUGAACGAUGAAGUAUUUCGGUAUGUAAAGUUCUUUUAUUGAAGAAGAAAAAGUAGUGGAAAAACUAUAUUGACGUUAUUCAAUGAAUAAGCCCCGGCUAACUAUGUGCCAGCAGCCGCGGUAAGACAUAGGGGGCGAGCGUUAUCCGGAAUUAUUGGGCGUAAAGGGUGCGUAGGCUGUUAGAUAAGUCUAUAAUUUAAUUUCAGUGCUUAACGCUGUCUUGUUAUAGAAACUGUCUUGACUAGAGUGAGAUAGAGGCAAGCGGAAUUCCAUGUGUAGCGGUAAAAUGUGUAAAUAUAUGGAGGAACACCAGAAGCGUAGGCGGCUUGCUGGGUCUUUACUGACGCUGAGGCACGAAAGCGUGGGUAGCAAACAGGAUUACAUU
rnacentral:rRNA from 1 species